rnacentral:lncRNA from 1 species
ACAUCUCUCUAUAGUAGUAAGAGGGUACGAACCUUUUUCGCAUAAUUGCUUUCAUCUCUCUAUAGGAGGAUAUUAGUCGCUCUCUAUUACGUCGUAUAGUGAGGAGUAGUUGAUCCCACCACACUAAGGUGUAAUCAAUGAACUCUACCGCUACUAGUUUGACCUUUUUUUCUUCGUGGUAAUUAUGGCAAUCAAAGACUAGUUCUAUCUUUCUCUCCCACUCUAAGUAUGCUUCAACAUUAUUCCUACAUUCAAAGAUGAUAUUUUCAUCUUGAUAGAGCUGAUAUUACUAUCUCUCUUCUUCUCUCCUCUCUACCUUAUUUUCCUCCUCAUCAUUACAGGACUCGUGUAACGGCCCCGGAAAUUUAAACAAAAUAUAUGUAUUAAAAAUGUCAAAUGCGAAAGCGUAAUAAAAAUUUUGAUUAACAUCCCUUACACAAUAACCAAAACGUACUCAAAACAUGAAAGAACAAACAAACUAAAAGAGAUACUCGAGAUAAGAACUAUAAAUAUAGCUAUGAAAUCUUUAGGCGUCCCCUUCGCCGUCUUCCUGUGGAACGGGCUCGGGAACAAUGUCUUCCUGAUCUGAAAUGGUUAAAUAAGGAAUGAGCUACACCAACCCAGUAAAGACAUCACACUAUCUCACCACCACGGAAGUAAAGGUGGGUAGAAAAUAAGAAAUGACCAAUGGAGCAUAAUUUAUAACAAACUCGUUUAUUAAAAUAAAAACCUUUACUGUCCACUUACCUCGGUAAGAUCCAU